GUAAGCCCAUCUCACUCUUCAUGGUCUCUUCCCUUGGCCCAUUCAUUCACCUUUGCCUGUUCAAUUUCAAUUCAAUAAUAUGGUACCAAAGCAGCUUAGGCGGUUCAAUUCAAAUUCAAUUCAAGUUUUAAGUCCAAAGUUUCUUGGAAUUGCCAUUGCAUCAAAAGUUCAAGGUUUUAAAGAAAGGAUUUCAAGUUUCAAGUGCCAACCAAAAUGUCCUAGUUGCCACUUGGGGAGUGUUAAGAGUUCUAAAUCCCAUAUCUAAACUAUAUGAGAAAUUCAAUGGCUUAUAAGGGUCAAGGCUAACUAAGUUAAUUGGUUAGGUCUAAUCUUUUAGCAAUGGUUGGCUCAAGCCCAAGUAAGACCAUCUCACUGUCACUCUUCAUGGAUUCUUGUCUUGGCUCAUUCAUUCACCUAUGCUCGUUUAAUCUCAAUUCAGUAAUAGGGAAACUCAUGGGUUUAUUCUUGUGGUCAUUGUAUCACUGAUCUAAAUGUUUCCUUGUUU
rnacentral:misc_RNA from 1 species